rnacentral:tRNA from 1 species
GUAGCGCAGUGGCUAGCGUGCUUCGUUCGGGACGAAGAGGCCGGUGGUUCAAGUCCAUUCACCCCGACCA